rnacentral:tRNA from 1 species
AGGAGUGUAGCUCAGCUGGUAGAGCAUCGGUCUCCAAAACCGAGGGCCGGGGGUUCGAGCCCCUCCACUCCUG